GACGAACCGUGCAAACGUUGUUCGGAUUCACUGGGCUUAAAGGGCGCGUAGGCGGGCUCGCAAGUCUGGGGUGAAAUCUUUCGGCUUAACCGGAAAAUGGCCUUGGAUACUGCGAGUCUCGAGGGAGGUAGGGGCAGCUGGAACUUCCGGUGGAGCGGUGAAAUGUGUUGAUAUCGGAAGGAACUCCGGUGGCGAAAGCGAGCUGCGGGACCUCUCCUAACGCUGAGGCGCGAAAGCUAGGGGAGCAAACGGG
rnacentral:rRNA from 1 species